rnacentral:rRNA from 1 species
CGCGGCCUAUCAGCUUGUUGGUGAGGUAACGGCUCACCAAGGCAUCGACGGGUAGCUGGUCUGAGAGGAUGAUCAGCCACACUGGGACUGAGACACGGCCCAGACUCCUACGGGAGGCAGCAGUGGGGAAUAUUGCACAAUGGGCGCAAGCCUGAUGCAGCAACGCCGCGUGCGGGAAGAAGGCCCUAGGGUUGUAAACCGCUUUCAGCAGGGAAGAAACUGACGGUACCUGCAGAAGAAGGUGCGGCCAACUACGUGCCAGCAGCCGCGGUGACACGUAGGCACCAAGCGUUGUCCGGAUUUAUUGGGCGUAAAGAGCUCGUAGGCGGUUCAGUAAGUCGGGUGUGAAAACUCUGGGCUCAACCCAGAGAGGCCACCCGAUACUGCUGUGACUUGAGUACGGUAGGGGGAACCGGGGGAAUUCCCUGGUGUAGCGGUGAAAAUUGGCCCAAAAAUUCCAGGGGGGGAAAACCCCUUGGGGGAAAAGGGCCCCCUCCCCGGGGCCCAAAAUUUUACCCCCUAAAAAAAAAAAAAAAACCCGGGGGGUGUCCCCCCGGGGGUUUUUAAACCCCCCCGGGGUACCCCCCCCCCCCCCAAAAAAAUUUGGGGGGACAAAGGGUGGGGGGUGUUUUCCCCCCACCCCAAAAUAUGUCCCCCCCCCCCCCCCCCCCAAAUUAUUAAUUUUCCCCCCCCCCCCCCCCGGGGGGGGGGGGAAAAAAAAAAAUUUCAUUUUUUUUUUUUUUCUCCGCCGCCCCCGCCGGCGGUGCUCUGUGUUUUUAGUAAAAAAAACACACCCCCCCCCCCCGCCCGGGGGGGGAGGGGUGUUAGUUUUUUUUUUUUUUUUUUUUUUUUGGCAGCUA